rnacentral:rRNA from 1 species
AUUGAACGCUGGCGGCAGGCCUAACACAUGCAAGUCGAACGAGUGGCGGACGGGUGAGUAAUGUCUGGGAAACUGCCUGAUGGAGGGGGAUAACUACUGGAAACGGUAGCUAAUACCGCAUACCAUCGGAUGUGCCCAGAUGGGAUUAGCUAGUAGGUGGGGUAAUGGCUCACCUAGGCGACGAUCCCUAGCUGGUGUGGGAGAAUGACCGGCCACACUGGAACUGGGACACGGUCCAGACUACUACGGGAGGGAGCAGUGGGGAAUAUUGCACAGUGGGCGCGAGCCUGAUGCAGCCGUGCCGCGUGUAUGAAGGAGGCCUUCGGGUUGUAAAGUACUUUCAGCGGGGAGGCGGUACCCGCAGAAGAAGCACCGGCUAACUCCGUGCCAGCGGCCGCGGUAAUAC